AUCAACUUUCGAUGGUAGGAUAGAGGCCUACCAUGGUGGUAACGGGUAACGGGGUGUUAGGGCACGACACCGGAGAGGGAGCCUGAGAAACGGCUACCACAUCCAAGGAUGGCAGCAGGCGCGCAAAUUACCCAAUCCCGACACGGGGAGGUAGUGACAAUAAAUAACAAUACGGGGUCCUUUCGGGUUUCGUAAUUGGAAUGAGUACAAUUUAAAUCUCUUAACGAGGAACAAUUGGAGGGCAAGUCUGGUGCCAGCAGCCGCGGUAAUUCCAGCUCCAAUAGCGUAUAUUAAAGUUGUUGCAGUUAAAAAGCUCGUAGUUGAAUUUCGGGAUUAGUACGUUGGUCGUGCCUUCGGUACGUACUGGUGUUACUGAUUCCUACCUUCUGACGAACCAUCAUGUCAUUAAUUUGGUGUGGCGGGGAAUCAGGACUGUUACUUUGAAAAGAUUAGAGUGUUUAAAGCAGGCUCGCGCUUGAAUACAUUAGCAUGGAAUAAUGAAAUAGGACGUUGACCCUAUUUUGUUGGUUUCUAGGAUUGACGUAAUGAUUAAUAGGGAUAGUUGGGGGCAUUAGUAUUCAAUUGUCAGAGGUGAAAUUCUUGGAUUUAUUGAAGACUAACUACUGCGAAAGCAUUUGCCAAGGAUGUUUUCAUUAAUCAAGAACGAAAGUUAGGGGAUCGAAGACGAUCAGAUACCGUCGUAGUCUUAACCAUAAACUAUGCCGACUAGGGAUCGGAUGAUGUUAUUUUUAAUGACUCAUUCGGCGCCUUACGGGAAACCAAAGUGUUUGGGUUC
rnacentral:rRNA from 1 species